rnacentral:misc_RNA from 1 species
GGAUUAAGCAGAAAUUCCCCUGGAAAAUUACAGGAUGAAGUAACCUGCAUUUGCAUUUUUUUUCUAAUGGUGCAUGCCUGGAAACUGAUCCUCUGUUGGUUUUCCCGAAGGUGGGUGUCUUUUGUUUGGAAAUAGAAAUAUAGAGAAGAAGAAAUGGCUCUCACUCAAGACGUAGAGAACCGUGAUGGGAACUUGUUGGAGCCAUUUGUUGCGCAACAGACGGGGACUCAACAAGAACAUGAGAGCGAGAAGAAUCUUGGUGGUCUAGGGAUGGUUCUUCUCAGCACCGGCAUUGCAGUUAUUGGGUCUUUCGUGUUUGGGUGUGCUGUGGGAUACUCGGCGCCAACCCAAUUCGGUAUCAUGGAUGAUCUUAGCCUGUCGUAUUCUGAGUACUCAGUUUUUGGGUCCAUCUUGAAUAUUGGUGCUAUGAUCGGUGCAAUCACAAGUGGCCGAAUUACUGAUUUCUUUGGCCGGAAAGGGGCUAUGAGGAUCUCAUCCAUUAUCUGUAUAGCAGGAUGGAUUGGAAUCUACUUAUCCCAAGGAUCACUAUUACUAGAUUUUGGAAGAUUUUUAACAGGAUAUGGCAUUGGUAUUCUUUCUUAUGUGGUGCCUGUAUUUAUCGCUGAAAUUACUCCUAAAAAUCUUAGAGGAGCACUAGCAACUUCAAAUCAGGUCUUUAUUGUUUUUGGAAUAUUGUUGGUCUAUUUAAUAGGUGCAUUUGUAAAAUGGAGGAUACUUGCCUUAACAGUAACUCUCCCAUGCCUGGUUAUGCUUGCUGGUCUUUGCAUCAUUCCAGAGUCCCCUAGAUGGCUGGCAAUGGUUGGUCGCCAGCGCGAGUUUGAAGCCUCACUGCGAAAACUUAGGGGACCUAAGGUUGACAUUUCUCAGGAAAAGACAGACAUUCAAGAUUCCUUAGCCCUUAUUCGACAACUCCCAAGAGUAACCUUACUAGACUUGGUUCAUAAAAGAAACAUUCAUUUUGUCAUUGUUGGAGUUGGACUGAUGGCAUUUCAGCAAUUUGGUGGAGUUAAUGGAAUUAUAUUCUACGCUGACCAAAUUUUUGCAUCAGCAGGUGUCCCCCCAAGUGCCGGAAGUAUCCUCUACUCUGGUCUACAGGUCCUUCUCACUGCAUUUGUAGCAACCUUAAUUGAUAGAGCAGGAAGAAGGCCUCUUUUAAUGGUUUCUGCAGUUGGGUUGCUUCUGGGCAACAUACUAAUUGGAACUUCAUUCUUUUUCAAGGCACAUCAUUUGGCUCUUGAUUUAGUUCCAAUCAUCGCAAUCACUGGUGUCAUGCUUUUUAUAGCCUCUUUCUCAAUAGGAAUGGGAGCAAUUCCUUGGGUUCUAAUGUCUGAGCUAUUCCCCUUACAUCUGAAGGGAAUUGCAGGGAGCCUGGUGACAUUGGUAAACUGGUUUGGUGCUUGGUUUAUAUCCUUCACAUUCAAUUUUCUAAUGGAAUGGAGUUCAUAUGGUACCUUUUACUUGUAUGCUUGUGUUUGCACCUUCUCUAUCAUUUUCAUUGUGAAAAUGGUGCCUGAAACGAAAGGCCGAACACUGGAAGAGAUUCAAGCUUCUGUAAAUUAGUUCAAUUCAACAAUCAGAUUCUUGCACCAGAAUAUAUAUUUGCAAUUUAAGUGAUGUAAAGCUGUUUUAUUAAAAAGAUUAAUUAAUUUAUCUAUGAUGCCAAUGAUGCAAGUAAGCACCAUAAAACAUCAAAGUAGAAAGAAAGAAAAUACCAUGGAUCAAUGCUGUGUAUUGUUUUUCCUUUUUCUUAUUCCUUUUUAAGUUGUACUAGACCAUUAGUAGAAAGAAAUCCAAUGGAUUUGACAAAGUUUAAAUUUCCUAAA